ACAACAACAAUCUCUCCUACAACAGUUCCAACAGUACCACCGACUCUCUAUGAGUACAUGAUUGAAAUUGAACUGAACACCACAGACGUUACAGUGAUAGAUCAACUGAGAGCCAUUCUGAGAAAUGCUAUUUACCCUGUCAGAAUCAACAAUCUGAUACAAAUCACUGGUGUUAACAUGUCUACAGUUUGCUUCCCAAAUGGUACUGGAUUCCAGUGCAGAUGUGAGGACCAGUAUCGUUGGUCAUGUGACCAGUGUGUCUCUUAUGGGAAUUGUGAUGACAUCACAUCUGAAACGUGUGGAUGUAUCAAUGCCAUUCCUCCAGAUGGACAGUACUGCCAGUCGGUUCACCACCAAAACUUUACAGCAUGUCCAACAACAACAG